rnacentral:rRNA from 1 species
UACGGAAGGCAGCAGUGGGGAAUAUUGCACAAUGGGCGAAAGCCUGAUGCAGCUAUGCCGCGUGUAUGAAGAAGGCCUUAGGGUUGUAAAGUACUUUCAUCGGGGAGGAAAAAACAAAACUAAUAAUUUUAUUUCUUGACGUUACCCGAAAAAGAAGCACCGGCUAACUCCGUGCCAGCAGCCGCGGUAAUACGGAGGGUGCUAGCGUUAAUCAGAAUUACUGGGCGUAAAGAGCACGUAGAUGGUUUUUUUAAGUCAGAUGUGAAAUCCCUGGGCUUAACCUAGGAACUGCAUUUUGAAACUGAAAUACUAGAGUAUCGUAGAGGGAGGUAGAAUUCUAGGUGUAGCGGUGAAAUGCGUAGAUAUCUGGAGGAAUACCUGUGGCGAAAGCGGGCCUCCUAAACGAAUACUGACACUGAGGUGCGAAAGCGUGGGGAGCAAACAGGGAUUAGAUACC